CUUGUCUACUUCUUUAUUUUUUGAAGAUUAAAUUUUUUGGUUUCCUUUACCUAUAUGUUUUGUCGUCGACCCCUUGAAACAGUAGUCAUAGGUCCACACAAAGCAUUUUUGCCUUUAGGAACAUGUUUAAGAUGAUAAGGACUUUUGCUGAAGAUAGAUAGAUAGAAAGAUAAAUGAAAGUCUAGUGUAUUAAAUUGGUCAAUUCUUGAUUUAUAACUCUUUUGUUUUUAUAUGGGAAGAGCUGCCUAAUUCUGUUAUGAUCAUGCAUCUUUUCAUUCAUUUCCCUCUGGUUUGCUGCCAGAAGAGUACAAUAAAAGCUGGCGGUUCAUAUUGGAACUUCUCUGAUUAAAUGUUUCUUCAUUUUAUUUUUAAAUUUUAAUUCAAGAAGGCUGGUAUACUUUUCUUAGUGUUAAUGCAUAUUGCGGAGUUUUUAAGGGUAGUUGUCAUUUUCUGACUUCCUUGAGGCAAAAGAGAUCUUGCAUCACAUUAAAUUUCAUAUUCAGUAAAAAAAAAGGGAAGCCCUUUAGUCAACUCCAUAGCAGUCCUUUUUGUGCAUGAAAAUUAAGUUUUAUUACAAAUAAUUUUAUGAUAUUUGAAGUGUUCAGUCUUGAGGAAUCAUUUGUGAAUGAUGUUCAGCCACCUGCUAUAAAUGCAGUAUACCUUUGGGGAUGAUAAGUUAUCAAGAAGCCUAUGCUUGAUGGACUGCUCACCCAGCAGUAGUGACAAGAAAACAUUGAAGAGGUGGUUUUUCAUUGAUAAAAGAGUUGGGUA